AUAAUAAUGUGUGCUGAAUGGAAGAGAGACCCUGGUUCUGAUAUUGAUCACAGGAACUAAAAGUACAAACCAUACACAACAGUUGAUGUAUUUUAGAGUCAAUAACUAACUAUUGGUUGUCUCUCUCUGCUUCUUCCUGUAUCUCUCCGUGUAGAGGUCUGUAAACAAAUACCACCAACAGACGGCCCAACGUGUUUGGGGAAUUUCCCACGUUACUUCUACAACUCCUCCUCAACGAGCUGCCAGCUUUUCACCUAUGGAGGGUGUGGGGGCAACUUUAACAACUUUGAAACUGAGAAAGAGUGUAUGCAGAGAUGUCACACUGAAUAGUCUGUGAUCAAACACCA